rnacentral:rRNA from 1 species
CAUUAUAGAGAGCUACGGCUCCCUUUAUGCCAUUACCAUCUUGAUGUUUUCUUCUAUGUUGCUUCCACCUCCUAGAAAUGUGGACUCAAUUCUGGGUUCCAUGAUAGGUGGUGGGAGGUAUUUUAUACUAUUAUUCUUGCUUAGGCUGUUACUUUGUCUGAAUAUGAGGGAAAAUGUUACAAAACUUUCAACAACGGAUCUCUUGGCUCCUGCAUCGAUGAAGAACGCAGCGAAAUGCGAUAAUUAAUGUGAAUUGCAGAAUUCCGUGAAUCAUCGAGUCUUUGAACGCACAUUGCGCCACAUGGCAUUCCGUGUGGCAUGCCCAUCUCAGCGUCAGAAAAUAUUAUCAAAUUUUAGCAUUAUGCUAAACUUUGGAUCAUGUCAGGGAAGCUAUUACUUUUAUUGUGAUUGCUCUUUGAAAAUUCAUAGGUCUUCAAGUUGCUAUUUAUGGAACGUGAUGAAAAUUACUUCGUUCUUUUUUAGUUGUCUUGUAUAGUCCAAAACCUAUAUGCCUUUGGCAUCUUUCUUUAUUUGACCUGAGAUUGGGUAGGGAUACCCGCUGAACUUAAGCAUAUCA